UAGUCCACGCUGUAAACGAUGAUCACUCGCUGUUGGCGAUACACAGUCAGCGGCUUAGGGAAACCAUUAAGUGAUCCACCUGGGGAGUACGGUCGCAAGAUUGAAACUCAAAGGAAUUGACGGGGGCCCGCACAAGCGGAGGAGCAUGUGGUUUAAUUCGAUGAUACGCGAGGAACCUUACCUGGGCUUAAAUGUUGGACGACUGUCCCCGAAAGGGAACUUUUCUUCGGAACGUCUAACAAGGUGCUGCAUGGUUGUCGUCAGCUCGUGCCGUGAGGUGUCGGGUUAAGUCCCAUAACGAGCGCAACCCCUAUCCUUAGUUGCCAUCAGAUAAUGCUGGGGACUCUAAGGAAACUGCCUACGCAAGUAGUGAGGAAGGUGGGGAUGACGUCAAAUCAGCACGGCCCUUAUGUCCAGGGCUACACACGUGUUACAAUGGCAGGUACAAAGGGCAGCUACACAGCAAUGUGAUGCUAAUCUCUAAAGCCUAGUCCCAGUUCGGAUU
rnacentral:rRNA from 1 species